rnacentral:rRNA from 1 species
AGCGAACGCUGGCGGCAGGCCUAACACAUGCAAGUCGAACGAACUCUUCGGAGUUAGUGGCGGACGGGUGAGUAACACGUGGGAACGUUCCUUUAGGUUCGGAAUAACUCAGGGAAACUUGUGCUAAUACCGAAUGUGCCCUUCGGGGGAAAGAUUUAUCGCCUUUAGAGCGGCCCGCGUCUGAUUAGCUAGUUGGUGAGGUAAAGGCUCACCAAGGCGACGAUCAGUAGCUGGUCUGAGAGGAUGAUCAGCCACAUUGGGACUGAGACACGGCCCAAACUCCUACGGGAGGCAGCAGUGGGGAAUCUUGCGCAAUGGGCGAAAGCCUGACGCAGCCACGCCGCGUGAAUGAUGAAGGUCUUAGGAUUGUAAAAUUCUUUCACCGGGGACGAUAAUGACGGUACCCGGAGAAGAAGCCCCGGCUAACUUCGUG